rnacentral:rRNA from 1 species
GUGUAGGAUAGGUGGGAGGCUAUGAAGACGUGACGCCAGUUGCGUUGGAGCCGUCCUUGAAAUACCACCCUUGUAUGUUUGAUGUUCUAACUUAGACCCAUUAUCUGGGUUGAGGACAGUGCCUGGUGGGUAGUUUGACUGGGGCGGUCUCCUCCCAAAGAGUAACGGAGGAGCACGAAGGUGGGCUAAUCACGGUUGGACAUCGUGAGGUUAGUGCAAUGGCAUAAGCCCGCUUAACUGCGAGAAUGACGGUUCGAGCAGGUGCGAAAGCAGGUCAUAGUGAUCCGGUGGUUCUGUAUGGAAGGGCCAUCGCUCAACGGAUAAAAGGUACUCCGGGGAUAACAGGCUGAUACCGCCCAAGAGUUCAUAUCGACGGCGGUGUUUGGCACCUCGAUGUCGGCUCAUCACAUCCUGGGGCUGAAGUCGGUCCCAAGGGUAUGGCUGUUCGCCAUUUAAAGUGGUACGCGAGCUGGGUUUAGAACGUCGUGAGACAGUUCGGUCCCUAUCUGCCGUGGGCGUUGGAAGAUUGAAGGGGGCUGCUCCUAGUACGAGAGGACCGGAGUGGACGAACCUCUGGUGUUCGGGUUGUGUCGCCAGACGCAUUGCCCGGUAGCUAAGUUCGGAAUUGAUAAGCGCUGAAAGCAUCUAAGCGCGAAGCGAGCCCUGAGAUGAGUCUUCCCUGACAGUUUAACUGUCCUAAAGGGUUGUUCGAGACUAGAACGUUGAUAGGCAGGGUGUGUAAGCGUUGUGAGGCGUUGAGCUAACCUGUACUAAUUGCCCGUGAGGCUUAACCAUACAACACCCAAGGGGUUUUGUA